UGGGCAAGGGGACGAAGAAGGUUGCGAACGUCAAGGGCGGCAUCCCGAUCACGCUGCGCAUGCGGCUGGAGUGCACUUUGGUCAAGGCGCGGGAUUCGGAGCGAAACGGCGGCGGCGGGACGCCCUCGCACACGUUCACCAUCCUCAACGAGGUUCUCGUGGACCGCGGCCCGUCCCCGUUCCUGUCCAAGAUCGAGGCGUACGACCGCGGUCAGCUCAUCACCACCAUCCAGGCUGACGGCGUCAUGCUGGCGACGGCGACGGGGUCCACCGCGUACUCGGUCUCCGCUGGCGGGUCGAUGGUGCACCCCAACGUGCCCGCCAUUUUGAUGACCCCGAUCUGCCCGCACACGCUCUCCUUCCGGCCCGUGAUCUUGCCCGACUCGGUCGAGGUGGAGCUGAGGGUGGCUGACGACGCGAGGCAGAGCGCGUGGGUGAGCUUCGAC
rnacentral:lncRNA from 1 species